rnacentral:misc_RNA from 1 species
GAAAUGCGAUAACUAGUGUGAAUUGCAGAAUUCAGUGAAUCAUCGAGUCUUUGAACGCAUAUUGCGCCCGUCGGUAUUCCGGCGGGCAUGCUGUUCGAGCGUCAUUACACCAGUCAGACCGUGCCGGUUUGGUGUUGGGUCUUAUCUCGUCUCCCUGAUAUACAGGAAGACGGACCCUAAAUCUCUGUCCCGGCGGCCGAUAUCGUCAUAGCCCGGAACGCGUCGUGGUGCUUUGUAGCCUCGCGGCCGGGUCCGAGUUCGGUGCAGCCGUUUUAUAAAGGACGGCCGCUUUCGCAGUGGUCCUCCCCCAAGAGUCUUGACCUCGGAUCAGGUAGGGUUACCCGCUGAACUUAAGC